rnacentral:misc_RNA from 1 species
GAUGAAGAACGCAGCAAAAUGCGAUAAGUAAUGUGAAUUGCAGAAUUCAGUGAAUCAUCGAAUCUUUGAACGCACAUUGCGCCCGCCAGUAUUCUGGCGGGCAUGCCUGUUCGAGCGUCAUUUCAACCCUCAAGCCCUCGGGUUUGGUGUUGGGGAUCGGCGAGCCUUUCUGGCAAGCCGGCCCCGAAAUCUAGUGGCGGUCUCGCUGCAGCCUCCAUUGCGUAGUAGUAAAACCCUCGCAACUGGAACGCGGCGCGGCCAAGCCGUUAAACCCCCAACUUCUGAAUGUUGACCUCGCAUCAGGUAGGAAUACCCGCUGAACUUAAGCAUAUCAAUAAGCGGAGGA